AGGGGGUAGAUUCAUGAGGGAGAUAUCUUCUAAGACAGGCAAACAGGUAGACCUCUAUAAGUAGAGCCUGGGAGGAUUCUUUUUUUUAAAACUGCUAUUCCCAGAAUCCCCCAACCAGGAUGGCCAGUAGUUAACCCCCCCCCCCCCCCCCGUGGUGCUAAAAGGCAGAAAAUGUUAUAUGUCUUCUGCCUACUGUCUCUGCACUCAGAUAUCAGGUAACUGGGCAACAGAAGGAAACAGAAAAGACUCAAAUUCACAAUAAAAUAUGACCAAAUAAAUGUUAUUCCAAACUCAAGGGAAAAUUGAGACAUGGGGAAUCAAAUUCACAGUAUUAAAGAAGACCUAAUGACACAUCUAGUGGACUUCUUACCACGAGGGCAACACAUCCAGCCUUAGUUUUACAGGCGCUCCACCAACAGCUAUUGUGGAUUGUAUGGGAGUCAUCCAGUUGGAUCAAACUCCUGACAGAGGUUCAGUGUCAUUUCCUGCAGUUGUUGGUGGUUGGGAUAGUGGGAUGCCUAAUAAUUGGGGGUGGUUAUUAUAGGAUCAUGACGAGCAGAGUGAUGAUGCUUCAAAAUGUAUGGAAGAGGUUAAUCUUCCUUCUAGUUCUAAAGGGCAGAGUAAUCUGUAUGUAAGAACUUACAGGUGGCAGCGAUAAGGGUAGAGGCCCGCAGAGACAGGAUGAAGUUAAGAUUAGCUGCAUAAAAAGAACAUAGCAGAGGCUGCUCUCUGCGAGAAAAGUAUCUGUUAGGCUUAUCUGUGGAUGGUGGUGGUUUUCUCCACAGGUUGUGUGGAUUGUGGUAUCCUGACCUGUAUUGUGAACUUUGGACCCUGUUGCUUCUGACUCUUCGUGACCUCAUGGACCAUCUCAGGCCAGAGCUCCCUGUUGGCCGUGGACACCCCCAGCUCCUUCAAGGUCAAGCCAAUCACUUCAAGGAUACCAUCCAUCCAUCCAUCCUGCCCUUGUUCCCAGAAAAUUCUGCCAGUAUGGCCAAUGAUGCGGGAUUCUGGGAGAUGAAGUCCAGAAAAAGGAGGAGAAGGAGAAGAAGAAGAGGAGUCAUAUGGAAGACUGAUAUGGAUGUAUUAAGAAAUAUAUAAACACACACAUAUAUGUAUAAGCACACUGAAAUAUAGGAAAUUAGAUUUUAGAUGCAGUAGCUAGAAGACAAAGGAAUGUCCAAGUGGUCUGUUACAUGCAAAGGCAAAGGAAUUAUCUAUUAUCUGUAAAUUCCAAGUACCAGGGAACAGGCUGACACUGAAUCCACUGGAAGGAAAGUGGUAGGGUCUAUUGAUGGAUGAGCUGAAAAUGUUUAACCGUGCUUUAAAAAGGACCAAUGUAUGUACCAUAUGUUGAGAGGGUCAAAUAUUAUCUCUGUGAUGUAGAGCUGACUACGCAUGUAGCUUUGCCUGCUUGUAACUGAGGAAUGUAUAGAAGAGAAUUGCCUUUGUUUGGAGUUCUGACUUUUGGAACAGAUUUCCAUCAGAGUCUCCAGUUGGUAAAUAAACUUUUUUUUCAAGUCUCAAAGAAAGGUUUCUCUCUCUCCAUCCACUUCAAGACUACUGGGAACAAUUGUGUAAUGCCAAAUCACUCAAACAAUGGACCGUUAACACAAAUGCUUUUAGAGUUUUGUUUCCCAUGCAGAGAAAUGUUUGCGAUUUUGUGAGGGCAAGAACCAUUUUUGUGACAGCAGGAAGAGCAAUGGCAAUAAUUGGCAGAACCCAUUCAUUCACUGCACUUGUACAAGGCCAUCAGAGGAAGAGCAGACCACCAAAGUUCAUCUUCUGUUUGAAUCUGACUAUCCAAUGCUGCCUGUGAUUUCACUACCUAAGAAGCUUCCCUGGAAAGGCACAGAUGACUUCACAAGCCACCAAAGUGCAUUAGGUAUAAAAGUUCGUCAGAGUCGGACACCGAAGAGAUAGGCAGUUCUGAAUAGAACUGGUCUCUGCUGGGAGCUGCAUAUCAGGAAAUUUGUUAUAACACCAUCAGUAGGACAUCUGUUACACGAAAACGGAAUAGGAUGUCAGGCAUGGUUUGCUUCAUUAGAUAGCACAACUACCAAUCCUGCCUCAGAGAUCUAGGACAUUAUUGCACAAAGCAGUCAAAAUGGCACUGAAACUCAACUGUUGCCUUUUGUGAUGGUCCCUGUGUGCAUCCUACUGCCGGCCUGCCUCCGUCCCAGCAAUUAACCUGUCCCUCAUUAUUGAUGGGUACAACCCAUUGACAGCUCCCAAUAAUGCAGAGCUCCCGUCACCUACUUUGGUGAAAUGGGUCUGGUCCACUUCUGUGUCUGCAUGCUGGCAGUAAAGUGAUGUCAGGGAGUGGGAUUCUCCUCUUCUCCCUUUCAAUUCCCAAGAUGUCUGUUUUCUGCUCAUUUUAUAUUUCAUAGUUGUUUGCCCUUUUUUGGGUUUUCAAAGUUCAUUUUGAAAUUGCUCUAGAACAUUACAGAAAAGCAGAAUUGUGAUCAUGGAACCACGAAUUGGUGGAUGUGUGUAAUUGCGUGAAAAACAAGAGGUGUGAUAUUGAAAAUGCUCAUCUCAGUAUGUACCUGCUAGCAGUCAAAUCAUGACUGCUGUGGACUGGCAGCACAAAACAAGAAUCACUCAGGUUCAUAUAACUCUCUGCUCUCAGCCUCUCUAGUUGCUCAGGAAAUUGCAAAACCUGUUAGUUAUUUGCCUGCUCAUCCAAGCUGCCUCCAUCCAAUUUCAGUAUUACUUCUCCCACUGUAGCACCCUAUGCCAGCUUUCACACUUUCCAGUGGAUCUAAACAGCAGAGGGACAACAGCAAGAUAAAUAGGAUGUAACCUUUAAGAUACCUUUUAUUCAUUUGUUUGUCUUGUAGAACUAUGUCCUGCUUUUUCUUAAACUGAAGCCCUCAAAGUGAUGCACAACAUUAAUAAAAUGGUCAACCAAAUUAAGAACUAGGAUUUCUUCUUACAGUGUAAUUGGUGUGAUUCAGAACAUGGCUUGGAACAAAGGGAGGAAUAGCUCCUAAUAGAGCAUGUACAGGUGUCUUGAAGCUGGGGCAGUGCGUAUGAUGUUACCAUAUGGUAUGUUUUAUGAUGUAUUUUAUCUGGUGAUCUUCAGAUGUCAAUGAUAUAUCUCUCUACAAAAGACAAAAUAAAGAUACAUGUUCCACGAUAGCUCCUAAAUGUCUUGAUAGAUCUGGACCAAACAUGGUACUUGGAAUUGAUUGAGAAUGAUGGAAGUUGUAGUCCACCCACAUCAAGAUAGCCAUGUCAGUACCACUGAUGAUGGAUCUGGAUCAAACUUGGCACACAUACCCAUCAUGACCAAUUUAAAAUACUGGUGGGGUCUUAGGGGCAAUGACAGAGGAUAACAGCAGUUGCAGUUCUUACUUACUUACUUACUUACUUACUUAGGCAAUAUCCCGUUGUCCGAGUAUGAUGGCCUUCCAAGUAUAGUGUCUUGGCGGUAGAUACGUAGGUGACUGUGGAGCCCUAUUCUUGACUUGCAUGUUCUUCCACAGUGAGGACAUUGGUUUUCAGAUGGAAAGAGGUCCCGGUCAGGGCUGGCUUUGACGCACCUUCCUCUUGGCACGUUUUUUCUUUUCACCCUCCAUUUGUGCUUCUUCAAAUUCCACAGCACUGCUGGUCACGGCUGACCUCCAGAUAGAGCACUCAAGGGCCAGGGCUUCCCAGUUCUUGGUGUCUAUGCCAGAGUUUUUGAGGUUAUCUUUAAGCCCAUCUUUAAAUCUCUUUUCCUGUCCACCAACAUUCUGUUUUCCGUUCUUGAGUUGGGAGUAGAGUAACUGCUUUGGGAGAUGGUGAUCGGGCAUUGGGACAACGCAGCCAGACCAGCGGAGUUGAUGGCAUAGGAGCAUCGCUUCAAUGCUGGUGGUCUUUGCUUCUUCCAACAUGCUAACAUUUGUCUGCCUUUCUUCCUAAGAUAUUUGAAGGAUUUUAUGGAGGCAACACUGAUGGAAUUCCAGGAGUUGAGUGUAACGUCUGUAGAUGGUCCACGUUUCGCAGAUGUACAGCUGGGUUGGGAGGACAAUACCUUUAUAAACAAACAUCCCUACAGAUGUCCCGAUCCUCAAACACACUCUGCUUCAUUUGUAAGAAUGCUGCAUUCACAAAGCUCAAGCGGUGUUAUAUUUCAGUGUCAAUGUUGACUUUUGUGGAUAGGUGGUUGCAGUCCACCUACAUUUGGAGAGUCACAUCAUGGUCACCUAUGAUAGAUCUGGACCAAACCUGGAACACAUACUCUUCAUGACCCAACUUAUACUGGCAAGGUUAAGGGGCAUGAUAUAGUAUGACAGGAGUUUAAAUCAAGCCACAUCCAGAGAUCUGUGUGUCUCACCCAUGACCAAAUGCGUUUCUCUCCUAAUCAAUCAGACAGUUCACUGUACUUGCCAGAUCGAAUCUCCCAAUGUCCUUACCUCUUUACUAUACAAACUGGGGGUUAUGGGAGUUACACUCCAACAAAAAGGUUGGCCUGCUUGAUCAGUUAGGUGCAGACCAUCAACUCCCACACACCCAGAUUUGGGGUUGAUGGGAAUAACAGCCAACCAGAUCUGAACCUGAUGAGACUGGCAGCCUGACCAAAUCUUGGCUGAUGGGAGUUGCAGCCCAUCAGAUGUACCACUUUGUAAAUGGUCCCAUUAGCUUAUUCUAAUACAACCAUUCAUAAAGUCCAAAACCAAACAAUUACUAAUCAACAGCAUUACAAAAUACCUAGCCUGAGCAAUGUCGGGUACCUAAGCUAAUAUUAAUAUAAAUUCCUGCCUGCAUGUAUACCUGAAUUCACACAUAGAGAGACAGAAAACCUAAGCUGCUAACUUUAAAGGUCAGCUCAUGUAAAUGAGAUACCACCAGCUGAAUUUUUUAUUUCAGAAGGGGCUGGUACGUAUGUAAAAACAUGCUGCCUAAAAGGAAUCCUUUUUAUACAUUUGUAACACUUAAAUACUCCAACGUGAACAUGUUAUGAUCCAUACAUAAGAAUCAAUAAUGUUUUCGUUCUGUCUAUCUGUCUUUUGAUACACAUAUAAAUAUGGAAAAAGAUGGACGAACAAUGUGAUGAGGUUGGCUGCAUAAAGUAUGGUAAAUAGGCAAGCGGUUGGAAACCUGAAAUAUGACUCUUUGUAUUUUCUUUAAUACCGUUAUAUGGCUUCUUGAAUGAGGAAUUAACUUAAUUCCCAAAUAAGGUCAACCCUGUGUCCAGGUCUGGAAGGAUGGGAACUGUAAUCACAAGCUUCUGGAACUCGACAGGUUCCACCACUCUCAUAUAGGGUGCAUCUACACCAGGCAUGGGCAAACUUCGACCCUCCAGGUGUUUUGGACUACAACUACUACAAUUCCUAACAGGCUACCAGCUGUUACGAAUUGUGGGAUUGAAGUCCAAAACACCUGGAGGGGUGAAGUUUGCCCAUGCCAGAUCUACACUGUAGAAUUAAUGCAGUUUGACACCAUGUUAACUGUCAUGGCUCAGUGUUAUGGAUGCUGGGAACUAUUGUUUGAUGAAGCACCAGCACUCUUUGGCUGAGAAGUCCAAAGAC
ensembl:lncRNA